rnacentral:rRNA from 1 species
AGCGCAGGCGGGAAGACAAGUUGGAAGUGAAAUCUAUGGGCUCAACCCAUAAACUGCUUUCAAAACUGUUUUUCUUGAGUAGUGCAGAGGUAGGCGGAAUUCCCGGUGUAGCGGUGGAAUGCGUAGAUAUUAGGAGGAACACCAGUUGCGAAGGCGGCUCUCUGGACUGUAACUGACACUGAGGCACGAAAGCGUGGGGAGCAAACA